CGGACGGGUGAGUAACGCGUGGGUAACCUGCCUCAUACAGGGGGAUAGCAGUUGGGAACGACUGGUAAAACCGCAUAAGCGCACGGUGUCGCAUGACACAGUGUGAAAACACUCCGGUGGUAUGAGAUGGACCCGCGUCUGAUUAGCUAGUUGGUGAGGUAACGGCCCACCAAGGCGACGAUCAGUAGCCGGCCUGAGAGGGUGAACGGCCACAUUGGGACUGAGACACGGACCAA
rnacentral:rRNA from 1 species